ensembl:misc_RNA Metazoa_SRP Metazoan signal recognition particle RNA
GCCGGGUGCGAUGGCUCACACCUGUAAUCCCAGCACUUUGGGAGGCCGAGGCGGGUGGAUCACCUGAGGUCAGGAGUUCGAGACCAGCCUGGCCAACAUGGUGAAACCCUGUCUCUA